AUAGCAACUACUGUGUGCUAUGCUCCUGACAUUCAACCAACACGUCACCCCUGGAGCACACAGUAGGUAUUCAACACUGGUGAGAAGUGCCUAUCCGAAGUUACAUCCAUAUUCUCUCUCAGAUCAGAAGUCUCCCUGGGACCUUCUCUAACUCUCCAGGCGAAUAAAGGAACCCUUUGGCUACAGGUGAGCACACCACGGCUGCGUUGGUCUUCCACAAGAGGACUGCUGACAGGACCACACAGCUGCCCACGGUACUGCCCGCGCUGGCGGCGUUCACGGCUUGCGUGCAUGUUCAGUGGGAUGAGACAGCAACUGAGGUGACCACUCUUCUCCCUGGCCACGCCGGCUGUGGCCAACGCACUGCAGCUGCGCACCUUCGUGGAACCCGGAGGCGGCCACCAUGUGCCCUUCAAUGCCAUCUUCCGAGCUGACAGUCGCUGGCACCACGUGUGUGCCACGUGGGAGCAGCGCAGCGGGCACUAGGAGCUGUUCACCGAUGGGAGGCAACGUGCAAGGGCUCAGGGACUAAGCACAGGCCACCCCGUGCCGACCUACGGUGUGCUUGUUCUGGGUCAGGAUCAGGACUCCCUGGGUGGCGGGUUCUCAGCCGCAACACCUUCAGUGGCAACCUUACUGACUUCUACCUGUGGGACCUGGUGCUGAGUCUCGAGCAAGUGCGCCGCGCUCG
rnacentral:lncRNA from 1 species